rnacentral:misc_RNA from 1 species
AACGCAUAUUGCGCCCUUUGGUAUUCCGAAGGGCAUGCCUGUUCGAGCGUCAUUAUCACCAUGUCAAGCUUGGCUUGUUGUUGGGCCCUUUGUCACCUGGUGACAGGUCCAAAAGAUAAUGACCGGUGUUGUACCGACUCUAUAUGCAACGAGCUGAUCACAGCACGCAUCUGGCAGUCGUACGGCCCGGUCUUCACCCUUUUAUUUCUCAAGGUUGACCUCGGAUCAGGUAGGAAUACCCGCUGAACUUAA